UCCCCACUGCUGCCUCCCGUUUUUACGGGAGGCAGCAGUGGGGAAUAUUGGACAAUGGGCGCAAGCCUGAUCCAGCCAUGCCGCGUGAGUGAUGAAGGCCUUAGGGUUGUAAAGCUCUUCACCAGUGAUGAUAAGACCUACUGUAGAAA
rnacentral:rRNA from 1 species